UCACCAUCAAACAGCCCACAGUCGUCCA
rnacentral:sRNA from 1 species